UAUAGCGGCCAUAGCGGCGGGGAAACUCCUGUACCCAUUCCGAACACAGAAGAUAAGCCCGCCAGCGUUCCUUAUUGUACUGAGGUGCGCGAGCCCUCGGGAAGUCUGGAUCGCUGCUAUAC
rfam:Candidatus Syntrophoarchaeum caldarius isolate BOX2 BOX2_8_reassembly_contig05, whole genome shotgun sequence.